rfam:TPA: Bos taurus chromosome 10, whole genome shotgun sequence.
CCCUGGUGGCUCAAAUGGUGAAGAAUCUGCCUGCAAUGCAGGAGACCCAGGUUUGAUCCCUGGGUCAGGAA